UCCCGUUUAGCUCAGUUGGUAGAGCGCGUCACUAGUAUGAGACAGAUCGUGCAAUGACGAGGUCAGUCGUUCGAGUCGGCUAAUGGGAA